CAAUAGCGUAUAUUAAAGUUGUUGCAGUUAAAAAGCUCGUAGUUGGAUUUCUGGUAGGAGCGACCGUGCCGAACUUGAUUGUUCGAGUAUUGUGUUGUCUUCAGCCAUCCUCGUGGAGAACUUUUCUAACAUUAACUUGUUGGGAUUGGGACCCGCGUCGUUUACUGUGGAAAAAUUAGAGUGUUUAAAGCAGGCAUUAGCUUGAAUACAUUAGCAUGGAAUAAUAAGAUAGGACUUUGGUACUAUUUUGUUGGUUUGCAUACCAAAUUAAUGAUCAACAGGAACAGUUUGAGGAUAUUCGUAUGAACAUGUCAGAGGUGAAAUUCUUGGAUUUUGAUCAGACGAACUACUGCGAAAGCAUUUAUCAAGGAUGUUUUCAUUAA
rnacentral:rRNA from 1 species